AUGGUUGGGAUUUGGGUCAACAAUCAAGAUCUGGGUCAAGGGUGGGGAAUUUGGGGCCAAACCAGCCCAAGGUCGGGAGCAACAACCACAUUCACCAACUACCCCAUGAACUGGGUGCGCCAGAGCCCCGGGAAGGGGCUGGAAUGGCUCGCUGGGAUCAGCAAGGAUGGUGGUUCCAGCACCUUCUACGCGCCGUCGGUGCAGGGCCGGUUCAGCAUCAGCAGGGACAACGGGCAGAGCUCGGUGACGCUGCAGAUGAACAACCUCAGGGACGAGGAUUCCCCCACCUAUUUCUGCGCCAAGAGCGUCUAUUCCGGCUACAACCGGGGCGGUGCUGGGGGAGUCCAGAGCCCCCUGGACAAAUCUCGACCCUUGACCCCAAUUCUUGGCCAUUGA